rnacentral:rRNA from 1 species
UACGAGGGGGGCGAGCGUUGUUCGGAAUUAUUGGGCGUAAAGGGUGCGUAGGCGGUUUGGUAAGUCUGAUGUGAAAUCUAUGGGCUCAACUCAUAGUCUGCAUCGGAAACUGCCGGGCUUGAGUAUGGGAGAGGUGAGUGGAAUUCCUGGUGUAGCGGUGAAAUGCGUAGAUAUGACUUAGAACACCAAUUGCGAAGGCAGCUUGCUAAACAAAUAUUGACGCUGAGGCACGAAAGCGUGGGGAUCAAACAGG